GACACCGUAGCUCAACGGUAGAGCACAGGGCUUUGGCCCUGGGAAGCCGGUUCAAUUCCAGCUGGUGUCA
rnacentral:tRNA from 1 species